AAAAAAAAAAAAAGAAAAAAACUUGUUCAUAAUUCUUCAUUUAACACAUCGAUGUGGAACUUGAAAAACCAACUUCAAAUAUCUUAGCCGUUACUAGACUCUUGUAACAUCCAAUUAAAGAACCAUUAGUUAAUGAAAAUGAAACAAAGUGAGAUGCAGUAACUGCAAAUAUUAACAGCUUAUGACAGUUACUCUUUCUUACAAGAAUGUCAAGACUAAUGCAAGACCAAAUUAACCACAAACAACCGAGCACAUUGAUGUCCAUUUAUAUUCAAUGAACACGAAAAUGCAGCAAUAAUAUAGCUUUUUAAACAUAAAAAGAACAAUUUAAAAAUAAAUAACUAUGACAGAGGUAUUGCAACAGAUAACAGCAACGCCGACUAUACAAUUAUCUGCAUUCUUUAAUCUACACACUGCUACAAGACAACCUAAUAAAUAUUAAUUACCAAACAACAACCAAUGGUGCUUUGUUUUUAAGCUUACUCGUAAAACAAACACAAUUUCUUAAAUAACAAAUGAGACAAAUAAACCCAACUUCCCAUAAGACAAAACUAUGUUAAUCUCAACAGCAAAUAUUUCUAGAAAGAAAAAGAAAGAGGAAAAAGAUAGAGGAAUGAGCAGAAAAUUAAAUUUAGAAACUUCUUUCCCGCAGAUAUCAAAUGGGUAAACCCCAAAAUAAUGGAUUGCUUAUUG
rnacentral:misc_RNA from 1 species